AUGUCAUGCCACUUCCUAAAGUAACCGGUUGAAGAACAACGGUAAGUGUCUGUUCAAGCACCAUUCCGGAAAUUGCUUCAGCUAGAUCAAAUUCAUUCGAGACCAAAUGCAAUCUCUGAGAGUGAUAAAAUCCUCUGUAGAUAGAAGGUCUGUCCAUCAAUGCAGAAAGCCCAGCUUUGUCUCGGCAAGGAAGCAACUUUAGCCAUGGAGUGAGGUUCUCUGUGCAAACAGCCUCACGGGGCAAUGUGCCGUACCUGACAUUUGUGGUAAAUGACUUGAAGCUCCACCGAGGAGCAGAAUAUGCAGUUGAUGACUCUAGGAAGUUAAUAGAAGCACAAAAGAGCCCUGAAAGAGCAUGGGUUAAAUUUCUCCAAGAAGCGUCGACCUGAUGUUGUGGAACAUCAAAACUAGCCCACAGUUCAACUCCAGGUGGCUUCGCAUUUCUACUUGAAAUGGGGUCGUAUCCACCCCAGCGUCCAUAAUUCCAGCGACCUUGUGUGAAGGACAGCUCCAUUUCUCGAACUCUAAAUUUAUGAACCUAAUCACACAAUUGAGUAUUAUAUUUUUAUGAAUCAACUGCUCAAUUUACUCAUGCACGCAUAAUUCAGUCCAAACUCACCUCACUUCAGCACUUACAACUUUCCAGAAUAAAAAAGGAAUAAAACACGAAUUGCAUGUUUCCUUGGUGUCAGAUUUCAUCCGAUUACUUGUUAUCAUAUCCCUUAAGGAAGGGUACCCAUCUUCCAUAUUAAUUGUCUACAUAUGCGACUCUUCUAGAAUAUCAAUUAAUUAAUUACGCCUCAAUCCUAACUAAUUGGGACUGGCCAUGUGAAUCCUCUGUACCCAUUCAGCUCUAUUUGGUCCCGUUUUCAUUCUAAUACUAAAAUAUUUGGUCUUUCAAGGUAAAUUAAGGCUUCCUUAAAGUUAAAAGUUGUUAAAUCUCACGCUUAUCUCCGCAUGGCUUACUUAGAACUAAACAAAACUGACAAAUGUGAGAACUAAUGCAAAUGUAACGAUAACAACUACGCCUUAAUCUCGACUAGUUAGUAUUCCUAUAUAGACACUUUACUUUCAUUGUGCUAUGUUAGCAUUCUAUCUAAUUGCAUAUGAUUUUUCCACCUCGUCCCCUACCAUAUACAGAGCUAAAAAAAAAUGCUAAUACGAAACUAAAUAAAAUCAAAAAAUAUUCAUUGAGAUAAUAAGAAGCCCAAAUUGAAAGUGUACCAGCUGAUAAAUGGAUUUGGGGAAGAGACUGUGGUGGGGUCCAUGAGUGCGAGUUGGAGGGAUUUUACUUUCGAAGUGAAAAUGCGCCAACACUUUACGAUCUGGUAAUGGCCUCAACAACAGUGCUUCUGAGAACUCUUCUUCACUUUGUUCGGCAAUAAUAAUUGACCCGAAGCUCUUAAAGAGCAGAAUAAAUAGCAAAAUUGAUCUUAAUCGAACCAUUAAUAAUGGGCCUCUUGCUAAUGAGCGUUACCGCUGAUAUUAGUACUGGGGAUAUUUGAAGAGCAAUUCCGCCAUUAGAAGAGCUUCAACGUGUGUUAAAACUUAAAUCAAUGGUUUGAAGAAUUUUGGAUACAUUUGGGGUUUUGGCUGGUUGACCCGUUUAGACCUGGGAUCCGAUCCCAUUUGGUUUCCUUUUUUUCUUUUUCCAUUUAAAAUGUUCCCCGUCUUUUUUCUAAUUGUUAUAAAUAUAUUAUAUUAUGGAUGUUCAUUUAGUACUCCGUUGUAAAUAAGCUUCCUGAAGAAGCUUAUCCAUAUGGGACUCCACCGUAAAUAUGUUUAUCUAUUUAAGUACUCUAUUGGAAAUGAGCUUUCUGAAGAAGCUUAUCACUUCGAUACCCGGUUAUGGAUAAACAUUACCACCGGUAGAAGAUUAUCCAUACCGGGUAUAAUAAGCUUAUCCUUUCAGUACUCAGUUAUGGAUAAACAUUACCCCCAAUAGAAGAUUAUCUAUACCGGGUAUAAUAAGCUUAUCCUUUCAGUACCCAGUUAUGGAUAAAUACUAUCCCCGGUAGAAGAUUAUUCAUACCGGGUAUAAUAAGCUUAUCCUUUCAGUACCCAGUUAUGGAUAAACAUUACCCUCGGUAGAAGAUUAUCCAUAUCAGGUAUAAUAAGCUUAUCCUUUCAGUACUCCGUUAUGGAUAAACAUUGCUCUCAGUAGAAGAUUAUCCAUAUCUAGUAUAGUAGCAGCUUACACAGCACCUUCCUUUCUUCUAUAAAUAGAAGAGAUUUCAGUUCAUUAUGUACAUCAGUUUGAAUUCGAAUAAUUGUCACACCUCCUUUUUCCGCCCCCGCGAGGGUACAAGAGAGUUUUUUCCGAUUAAAGGACAAUCGAAACGGGAUUUAUUUAUUUAUUUUAGAGUCGCCACUUGGGAGAUUUAGGGUGUCCCAAGUCACCAAUUUUAAUCCCGAAUCGAGGAAAAGAAUGACUCUGUAUUACAGUCUGCGCAUCAGAAAUCCGGAUAAGGAAUUCUGUUAACCCGGGAGAAGGUGUUAGGCAUUCCCGAGUUCCGUGGUUCUAGCACGGUCGCUCAACUAUUGUAAUGGCUAAAAUAUCUGAUUUUAAUACAUGUUCAAAAAAAAACUAUAGUGCAAUUUUAACUUUUAACCGCUUGUAUUGUUAUUAUUAUAUUUUAAAGAGUGUGAACAUCGUUGGCGGAUGGUUUAGACUUUUAGGGUUUUUGUCUUAUUUUUGUUUUGUUUUGUUUUGUAAAAUGUAAGACAAAGGGGUUUGGGUCUUUUGGGUUAUGGACUGGGUCGACCCAGUUCGAAAUGGACUGGGUCGUAGGGAAGAUUGGGUCAUUUUUGGGCCUGUGGCUUGNNNNNNNNNNNNNNNNNNNNNNNNNAAGGUGCCAGUUGAGAUGACCAAGUCACGGGACGCUUCCACCUGAACUCCAAGUCAAAUGGCCUUGAAUCACUGCUAUUUGCUAGAGAAUAUUCAUAUAGAAGGGAUGACUCCUUGUGAAAGCCAUAAACUUCUUUAACUACCCUAACUGGGGAAUCAGACAUUUCAAAGCUCAUGUCACUCCAAGCUUGAGAUAUCAAAUUCUUAACAUCAGAUUCUUGUUGCAUCUCUGAAGUACUCUUCAACUCUGACACCAAAUUUGGCUCUAAUUGGACAUACACAUUACUAGUAUUUGAAAGAACACACCUUCCACUAACUUUUCGUCCAAACAACGAGCUCAAUGACCAACUUGGCUGUCGUAUUGAGCCAACAGAUGAUGUCAUGCCACUUCCUAAAGUAACCGGUUGAAGAACAACGGUAAGUGUCUGUUCAAGCACCAUUCCGGAACUUGCUUCAGCUAGAUCAAAUUCAUUCGAGACCAAAUGCAAUCUCUGAGAGUGAUAAAAUCCUCGGUAGAUAGAAGGUCUGUCCAUCAAUGCAGAAAGCCCAGCUUUGUCUCGGCAAGGAAGCAACUUUAGCCAUGGAGUGAGGUUCUCUGUGCAAACAGCCUCACGGGGCAAUGUGCCGUACCUGACAUUUGCAGCAAAUGACUUGAAGCUCCACUGAGGAGCAGAAUAUGCAGUUGAUGAC
rnacentral:lncRNA from 1 species